rnacentral:rRNA from 1 species
UACGAAGGGGGCUAGCGUUGCUCGGAAUCACUGGGCGUAAAGGGUGCGUAGGCGGGUCUUAAGUCAGAGGUGAAAUCCUGGAGCUCAACUCCAGAACUGCCUUUGAUACUGAGGAUCUUGAGUACGGGAGAGGUGAGUGGAACUGCGAGUGUAGAGGUGAAAAUUCGUAGAUAUUCGCAAGAACACCAGUGGCGAAGGCGGCUCACUGGCCCGUUACUGACGCUGAGGCACGAAA